GAUGAACGCUAGCGGCAGGCCUAACAAAUGCAAGUCGAGGGGUAACUAGAGUGAUAGCAAUAUUACUUUGGCUAGACCGGCGCACGGGUGCGUAACACGUAUGCAACCUACCUUAUACUGGGGAAUAACUUCGAGAAAUCGGCGCUAAUACCCAAUAACAUUGCGUAGUGGCAUCUCUUUGGAAUUAAAGCACCGGCGGUAUAAGAUGGGCAUGCGUCCAAUUAGCUAGGUGGUGAGGUAACGGCUCACCAAGGCUACGAUUGGUAGGGGUUCUGAGAGGAUGAUCCCCCACACUGGUACUGAGACACGGACCAGACUCCGACGGGAGGCAGCAGGGAGGAAUAUUGCGCAAUGGACGAAAGUCUGACGCAGCCAUGCCGCGUGCAGGAUGACGGCCCUAUGGGUUGUAAACUGCUUUUGUACGGGAAUAAACCCUUCUACGUGUAGGAGGCUGAAGGUACCGUAAGAAUAAGCACCGGCUAACUACGAACCAGCCGCCGCCGUAAAAC
rnacentral:rRNA from 1 species